UUUCCGUAGGUGAACCUGCGGAAGGAUCAUUAACGAGUUAGGGUCUUUUAGGCCCGACCUCCCAACCCUAUGUUUAUUGAACCUCUGUUGCUUCGGCGGACCCGUCUCACGGCCGCCGGAGGACCGCUGCGAGGCGUCCUCUGGCCAGCGUCCGCCGAUGGCCAACCCACUUAACUCUGAAUGAAUCGUGUCAUAUGUCUAAGUCUAUGAUUAAAUUAAAGCAAAACUUUCAACAACGGAUCUCUUGGUUCUG
rnacentral:misc_RNA from 1 species